UCAAGCGAACAAGAGCAUAAGGUGAAUGCCUUGGCAUCAGGAGCCGAAGAAGGACGCGACUAACUGCGAUAAGCCACGGGGAGCUGUAAAUAAGCAUUGAUCCGUGGAUUUCCGAAUGGGGAAACCCUCAUGAUGAAGAAUCAUGAAACGUUUACUGAAUUCAUAGGUAACCGUGGGGAACCCGGGGAACUGAAACAUCUAAGUACCCGGAGGAAAAGAAAUCAACCGAGAUUCUGCGAGUAGUGGCGAGCGAAAGUGGAAGAGGCGAAACCGAGACUGGUAACAGUGUCGGGGUUUGGACUGCGACAUAGAGAAGUGAACUUAGUCGAAUGGUAUGGAAAAGCCAACCGUAGCGGGUGAGAGUCCCGUAGACGAAAAGGGAAACGAUCUUAGCAGGAUCCAUAGUAUCAGCGGACACGAGAAAUCCGGUGAGAAGACGGGGGGACCACCCUCCAAGCCUAAAUACUACCUGAUGACCGAUAGUGGAGCAGUACUGUGAAGGAAAGGUGAAAAGAACCCCGGGAGGGGAGUGAAAGAGAACCUGAAACCUUAUGUUUACAAGCACACAAAGCACGUUAAGGUGCGAUGUGGUACUUUUUGUAGAACGGUCCGGCGAGUUAUUGUAUGCAGCGAGGUUAAGCGAUUCAGUCGCGGAGCCGUAGGGAAACCGAGUGUGAUAAGCACGACAAGUUGCAUGUAAUAGACCCGAAACCGGGUGACCUAUCCAUGAGCAGGUUGAAGUAGAGGUAAAACUCUAUGGAGGACCGAACCGACCCCCGUUGAAAAGUUGGCGGAUGACUUGUGGAUAGCGGAGAAAUUCCAAUCGAACCCGGAUAUAGCUGGUUCUCCCCGAAAUAGCUUUAGGGCUAGCCUCAUAUAUAUUUACCGGAGGUAAAGCACUGAAUAGGCGCGGGGCCGAGAGGCUACCAACCCUUAUCAAACUAAGAAUGCCGGAUAAAUGAGUAUGGGAGUCAGACUACGUGAGAUAAGUCUCGUGGUCGAAAGGGAAACAGCCCAGACCUACAGCUAAGGUCCCAAAUAUAUGCUAAGUGGAAAAGGAUGUGGCAAUGCACAGACAACCAGGAUGUUGGCUUAGAAGCAGCCACACAUUCAAAGAGUGCGUAAUAGCUCACUGGUCGAGUGAUGCUGCGCCGAAGAUUUAACGGGGCUAAGCAUAUAACCGAAGCUUAGGCAGUCAAUGACUGGGUAGGGGAGCGUUCUCAUCGGGGUGAAGUCUGACCGGAAGGACAGGUGGACCGAUGAGAAGUGAGAAUGCCGGAAUGAGUAGCGAGAAUUGCGUGAGAAUCGUAAUGGCCGAAAAUCUAAGGUUUCCAGGGGUAGGUUCGUCCGCCCUGGGUAAGCCGGGAGCUAAGGCGAGGCCGAAAGGCGUAGUCGAUGCACAUACGGUAGAGAUUCCGUAGCCGCCGAAGAUUUAAAUAUACUGACACAUGUGAGGAGCGCAAGCCGGGCGUUGGUAGACCCGGUCGAAAGGGACUGAAAUAUAGUAGGGAAGUGCGUAAGUCAUGUGGCGAGAAAAGGUAUAUGUACAUUGAAGGCGCCCGUACCGCAAACCGACACAGGUAGAUGAGGAGAGAAUCCUAAGGCCAACGGGAGAAGGGUUGUUAAGGAACUCGGCAUAUUAACCCCGUAACUUCGGGAUAAGGGGAGCCUCCGAAAGGAGGUCGCAGUGAAAAGGCCCAGGCGACUGUUUAACAAAAACAUAGGUCUCUGCAAAACCGAAAGGUGAGGUAUAGGGGCUGACGCCUGCCCGGUGCCGGAAGGUCAAGGGGAACACUCAGAGCAAUUGAAGGUGUGAACUUAAGCCCCGGUAAACGGCGGCCGUAACUAUAACGGUCCUAAGGUAGCGAAAUUCCUUGUCAGGUAAGUUCUGACCCGCACGAAUGGCGUAACGAUCUGGGCACUGUCUCAACAGCCCGCCCGGCGAAAUUGUAGUACCGGUGAAGAUGCCGGUUACCCGCGACUAGACGGAAAGACCCCAUGGAGCUUUACUGUAGCCUGAUAUUGAGAUUCGGUUCAUUAUGUACAGGAUAGGUGGGAGACUGUGAGACAAUGGCGUCAGCUGUUGAGGAGUCGUUGUUGGGAUACCACUCUUGAUGAAUCGGAUUUCUAACCUGCGCCCGUGAUCCGGGCGGGGGACACUGUCAGGUGGGCAGUUUGACUGGGGCGGUCGCCUCCAAAAGAGUAACGGAGGCGUACAAAGGUCGGCUCAGCGCGGACGGAAAUCGCGCAAUGAGUAUAAACGUAGAAGCCGGGUUGACUGCGAGACCAACAAGUCGAGCAGGUACGAAAGUAGGAGUUAGUGAUCAGGUGGUAGUGAGUGGAAAUGCCAUCGCUUAACGGAUAAAAGCUACCCUGGGGAUAACAGGCUGAUCUCCCCCAAGAGUUCACAUCGACGGGGAGGUUUGGCACCUCGAUGUCGGCUCAUCACAUCC
rnacentral:rRNA from 1 species